GUAUGACAGGUCAUAGAGGCUGUAUGACAGGUCAUAGAGGCUGUGUGACAGGUCAUAGAGGCUGUGUGACAGGUCAUAGAGGCUGUGUGACAGGUCAUAGAGGCUGUGUGACAGGUCAUAGAGGCUGUG